UAGAGCGCCAUGUGCCUGUAAAGUGAGAUGCUUUGCAGGAUAACGAGGAGAAGGGUUUAUCGAAAAUUCGGCGGAUGCCCUUCCGUGGACGCGGCCAUGUGACACAGCCGACAAAUACGCGGGCGACCGCGGAACAGAAAC
rnacentral:ncRNA from 1 species